rnacentral:miRNA from 1 species
GAUCUCUCUAUGCAGUUGAGGCUGAUCUUGAACUCACUUUGUAGCCCAGGCUGGCCUCGAACUGGAAACAAUCCUCCUGCCUCAGCCUCCCCAGUGCUAGGACUACAGGCAUGCACCACCAUGCC